GCUCUGGUGGCCAAGUUGGUAAGGCUCAGCACUAGUAUUUCAUCGCAAUGCUGAGAUCCUCGGUUCAACUCCGAGUCAGAGCA